rnacentral:rRNA from 1 species
UGGGGAAUAUUGCACAAUGGGCGCAAGCCUGAUGCAGCAACGCCGCGUGAACGAUGAAGGUCAUCGGAUCGUAAAGUUCUGUUGCAGGGGAAGAUAAUGACGGUACCCUGUGAGGAAGCCCCGGCUAACUACGUGCCAGCAGCCGCGGUAAUACGUAGGGGGCUAGCGUUAUCCGGAUUUACUGGGCGUAAAGGGUGCGUAGGUGGUCUUUCAAGUCGGUGGUUAAAGGCUACGGCUCAACCGUAGUUAGCCUCCGAAACUGGAAGACUUAAGUGCAGGAGAGGAAAGUGGAAUUCCCAGUGUAGCGGUGAAAUGCGUAGAUAUUGGGAGGAACACCAGUAGCGAAGGCGGCUUUCUGGACUGCAACUGACACUGAGGCACGAAAGCGUGGGUAGCAAACAGG